rnacentral:lncRNA from 1 species
GCUGAAACACAUUAGCGCGUUUGGCAAGUGCUCUAUCAGAGGGCCAUUAGACUGAGGCUCGUGCAUGAGGGGAUAGCAUACUUACUUUCACUCUCUUUGUAAUAAAAAACGAUUUCCCGGUCGGAAUAUUAUCGCUUUUUUACGAGAAAAAUGCCAUAAAAAUGGAUUUUAAACAGCGGUUGACAUGCUUCGAAGUACGGUAAUGGAAUAUUUAGAAUUUUUUUGUCACGAAAUGGGCCAUGCUCGUCACCCUUAUUUACCCUUUCGGAUAGUGUCUUGAACGCACGAACAAAACGCUGCUGUUUGGAUAUAACAAUGGAUUAUUUGGGACCAAACCAACAUUUGUUAUUGAAGUAGAAGUCCUGGGAGUGCAUUCUGACGAAGAACAGCAAAGCAACCCCAUACAGAAACCAGCUACCUGCAUUUCCCUGGACCGAAACUAUCCCUGACAACCUGCACCUCCCUACUCCCUGUUAAGGGAGGCCUUCACAAGGUGUGUGCCUUGUCUGAGAGAGCGAAUUGGAACAGAAAGGGAUGGACCUGGCACAGAGGGUAAAUUCAUGUUUAUUUGUGUCAUUGAUAUUAACAAUCUGGGGAAUACAGAACCUGUUUAACAACUCGUCUAUGGAAUUUACCUGAACUUCACAAGUAUAGACAACUGAAAAACUUGACUUGAGCUCUAUGUUGUCAUUGAUGUGGAUACUAACCCAUACACCCUUUUAUCUUUCCAUUACUUCAGAAUAGAUUUUUGUUUUGUUAUAACAGUGUAGUGGUAUAAGGAGAUAACAACUUACCUGAUAGGAAUGUUUUGUCUCUUCCUGAGGUACUCUCUGUAGGCGUUUCUCCACCCCUCAGAUCAGAAGAUGUGUUCUGUGCCACAGGGGCCCAUGAAGAGGGACCCCAGGCUGCUAAAUGGCAUUAAACUGGGAAGUUCUGAAGAUCUACUUAUUUCUAUCAAGUUGAACUAUCAAACGAGUAAUCAAACACUGACAAACAUUUGUAUUGGUUUUCUUUUAUGAAAACAGUGGAUAAGACAAUCAUCUAUAGGCUAUGGGCUAUUCAUGUUAAAUUGGCAACAGGAUGGAUCAGAGGCUUGAGUAAAAAGCGGAUUAUACACAAAACACAUUCAGUUUCAGUAGCAAGUUCACAGAAGCUACACAGGUAGCUAAAUCAUAUUUCUUCUGUCGUUACGAAUCAGUGAACGAGAAUGAAAUCUGCCUUGUCUGCAUCGUGCCGUCAGCCUGGCAUGCUGCUAACUUAUGUGCUAGCCGCUCGAGAGGCUGGGAAAACAUUCUGCGCUCUGAUUGGUUUGACGCUGAAAAUUAUCCUGUGCAGUUAUAGGCUUACAUGUACAACGACUCAGGUUAGCUUAAAGCAACAGCUAACCUGGUUACAAUCUGACUUGACAAUCUACCGUGGAACCAUAUUGAUGAGUACACUUCCUGCUUUUACAUCCUGCUUUGCUCAUCUCAAUGGCCGCCAGUCCCCCCAUUAUGACAUCAUUGACUUGAUUGGGCCCGCCCAUUCUAUUCAUUCUAUUUCUAUGGCUGCGCAUGCAGUCAGGAGCGGAAGAGAGGAGAAAAUGUGCAUCUUAAUUUGUUUUUAACCUCUCUAGGGUAGGGGGCAGUAUAUGCACGGCCGGAUAAAAAACGUACCCGAUUUAAUCUGGUUACUACUCCUGCCCAGUAACUAGAAUAUGCAUAUCAUUAUUGGCUUUGGAUAGAAAACACCCUAAAGUUUCUAAAACAGUUUGAAUGGUGUCUGUGAGUAUAUAUAUAGUAUGUAAAUACUGCCCCCUAGCCCUAACAGGUUAAAAUGGUGUAAAAUAGUCAUAUGUUUGAGAAAUUGAAGUAAUAGCAUUUCUAAGGUAUUUGAAUAUCGCGCCACGGGAUUCCACUGGCUGUUGAGUAGGUGGGACGAUUUCGUCCCAAAUACCCUAGAGAGGUUUUUAAAUAACUAUUUUGUUGUUGCAAUUUGCACGGUUAUGACAGUGACCGCAGUCAUUUAGCUGACCAAUUACCAUCAUCCAAAAUGUUAUGACCGUCACAGCCCUGCUCUUCUCUCUCUCUCUCUAACCCCUCCACACCAGAUUGCCCAUGUCUGUUUUCAAUCUUGGCCGUCUUCCUAAUUUCUCCUUUCCCAGGAUAUGAGCGGAUGGCCUGAAGAUUCAUACCGCCAGCCAGCAGCUGACUAAGGACUUUUUUUUGUUAGCGAGAGAGUGCCCCAUGAGAGAGAACGGGGGGGGGGACAGAGAGGGAGAGAUGAGGGGGCAGGGGGUAAAUUGGACCGUGCACAAACUCUCCUUUAAUUGUGUGAGUCAAUGUGAAGGCCCAGCAGCACUAAUUAGAGGGAUGUAGAGGGCCCAGUAGUUAUUAGAUAGGAGGGCAGUUACAACACAACCCAGGGAGUUAAGAAGGAACAACAACACAGUCUUCAGAACAGGACCGGCUCAGAGCAGAGUGGGACCCACCUCACAGUCUAAUACCACUGCAACAGUAAACUAGUGUAAUACUUUAGACAAGAUAUUGUCUCGUUCUCUACAGCCAGAAGUGAGUACAUCGUGCAGUAUAAACUUUGCACAGAUCACGGCACAACUGACACUACCAAAUCAUCAAUGAUGAUAUUGCCCAUUGCUACUGCAACUCCUACAUCUACUGUGACACUAAAGACAACAUCUACUGUAACACUAAAGACACAUCUACUGUAACACUAGAAACACAUACUGUAACACUAAAGACAACAUCUACUACAACACUAAAGACGGAUCCACUGUAACACUAAAUACACAUCUACUGUAACACUAAAGACAACAUCUACUACAACACUAAAGACACAUCUACUGUAACACUAGAGACACAUACUGUAACACUAAAGACAACAUCUACUACAACACUAAAGACAACAUCUACUGUAACACUAAAUACACAUCUACUGUGACACUAAAGACAACAUCUACUGUAACACUAAAGACACAUCUACUGUAACACUAGAAACACAUACUGUAACACUAAAGACAACAUCUACUACAACACUAAAGAUGGAUCCACUGUAACACUAAAUACACAUCUACUGUAACACUAAAGACAACAUCUACUACAACACUAAAGACACAUCUACUGUAACACUAGAGACACAUACUGUAACACUAAAGACAACAUCUACUACAACACUAAAGACACAUCUACUGUAACACUAAAUUCACAUCUACUGUAACACUAAAGACAACAUAUACUGUAACACUAGAGACACAUACUGUAACACUAAAGACAACAUCUACUACAACACUAAAGACGGAUCCACUGUAACACUAAAUACACAUCUACUGUAACACUAAAGACAACAUCUACUACAACACUAAAGACACAUCUACUGUAACACUAAAUACACAUCUACUGUAACACUAAAGACAACAUCUACUACAACACUAAAGACACAUCUACUGUAACACUAAAGACACAUAUACUGUAACACUAAAGACAACAUCUACUACAACACCAAAGGCACAUAUACUGUAACACUAAAGAUACAUCUACUACAACACCAAAGACACAUCUACUGUAACACUAAAGACACAUCUACUACAACACUAAAUACACAUCUAUUGUACCACUAAAGACAACAUCUACAGUAACACUAAAGAUACAUCUACUGUAACACUAAAUACAACAUCUACUGUAACACUAAAGACACAUCUACUGUAACAAAAAAUACACAUCUACUUUAACACAAAAUACAACAUCUACUGUAACACUGAAGACACAUGUACUGUAACACUAAAGACACAUCUACUGUAACACUAAAUACACAUCUACUGUAACACUAAAGACAACAUCUACUACAACACUAAAGACACAUCUACUGUAACACUAAAGACACAUAUACUGUAACACUAAAGAUACAUCUACUACAACACCAAAGACACAUCUACUGUAACACUAAAGACACAUCUACUACAACACUAAAUACACAUCUAUUGUACCACUAAAGACAACAUCUACAGUAACACUAAAGAUACAUCUACUGUAACACUAAAUACAACAUCUACUGUAACACUAAAGACACAUCUACUGUAACAAAAAAUACACAUCUACUUUAACACAAAAUACAACAUCUACUGUAACACUGAAGACACAUGUACUGUAACACUAAAGACACAUCUACUGUAACACUAAAUACACAUCUACUGUAACACUAAAGACAACAUCUACUACAACACUAAAGACACAUCUACUGUAACACUAAAGACACAUAUACUGUAACACUAAAGAAAACAUCUACUACAACACCAAAGACACAUCUACUGUAACACUAAAGAUAAAUCUACUACAACACCAAAGACACAUCUAUUGUAACACUAAAUACACAUCUACUGUAACACUAAAGACAACAUCUACUACAACACCAAAGGCACAUAUACUGUAACACUAAAGAUACAUCUACUACAACACCAAAGACACAUCUACUGUAACACUAAAGACACAUCUACUACAACACUAAAUACACAUCUAUUGUACCACUAAAGACAACAUCUACAGUAACACUAAAGAUACAUCUACUGUAACACUAAAUACAACAUCUACUGUAACACUAAAGACACAUCUAGUGUAACAAAAAAUACACAUCUACUUUAACACAAAAUACAACAUCUACUGUAACACUGAAGAUACAUGUACUGUAACACUAAAGACACAUCUACUGUAACACUAGAGACACAUACUGUAACACUAAAGACACAUCUACUGUAACACUAAAGGCACAUCUACUGUAACAAUAAAGACACAUCUAAUGUAACACUAAAGACAACAUAUACUGUAACACUAAAGACAACAUAUACUACAACAUAUACUGUAACAAUAAAGACACAUCUACUAUAACACUAAAGACACAUCUACUAUAAUACUAAAUACACAUCUACUGAAACACCAGUAGUAGUAGUAGCACUGGGAGCCACCGACACAGAGAAUAGUGAGACGCUGGACAGAGGAGGCAGACUCACUGCUGCAGGAUUGUUUUGAGAAUACUGAUUGGAUUAUUUGUUCAAAGAAUUAUCCAACCAGGACUCAUCCAUCAACAUUGAGGAAUAUACAUUGUCAGUCACAGGCUUCUUUAGGAAAUGUAUUGAUGAAUUUGUACCCACAAUAACAAUCCCGACAUAUCCCAAACAAAAACCCUG